CAUCACCAGCAGGACAGCGAACACGCCAGGGGGACACGCCCACCUGGCGAGGGGCGUGGUGUGGUUCAGACACCAUUGCCUGCUGUGCUGUUCCAGUUCAAAUCCUAGGCAUGCUGGAGACAAUUACAGAGGUGAGAGACCCGUUUCCGUGUACCACAAUGGAGGAAGUGGAACUUUUUGCGCAACGGCUCAAAGAUCCCGUCAACAUUCUAAUGAGUGGUGAGUUUUUUUGUUUUAAGAAUCUCACGCAAAGCUGAUUAAAAUCUAUUGUAUGUAAUUUACACUAGACAAUACCAUGUUUGAUGGAAAUGUUUUUUCAAACAUUCUGUAAAGUAUCAAAUAUUAAUCGUACUUUUUCGAUCCAUUUUCGAUUUCCUCCCUGGCAACGAUCGGACGACAUGAUGCCAAAUGUGGAACAUCCUCGAAUGAAUGGAAAAAAAUUAUUCAGUCAAAUGACAUCUAAGACUUUGCUCCUGCAUGCCGUCAGAAAGAAUCAUGCCACACAUGCAUCCACUGAUGAACAGAUUCUAAAGCAUGCCAUUAGGUGGUUCAACCUGGCAGCAAACCGGGGUAGCUCCAGGAGGCGUGCUACUGUCGACAUCCCCCACACUGAACAGAAUUAAAAAUAUAUAUUUACAUUUUUAUAUAUAAUAUAUAUUUAUAUAUAUAUAUUAGGGCUGUCAAUCGAUUAAAAAAAUUUAACUAAUUAAUCGCACAUUGUGAAAUUGCGAUUAAUUACAAACUUUUAAUCGCAAUUGAAAGUGUUGACAGACAAACGGAUUGACCAAUCACGUUGAAGGUUUCAUGUGACGAGUUCUUUCCGCGCCGCGUCCCCCGACACGUCGCCCUCCGUUCCUCUGUGUAUCAGAGGGGGAGACGGGAGGAAGGAGGAGCAGGAAACCCGACUGA